rnacentral:tRNA from 1 species
UCCCAGGUGGUCCAGUGGCUAAGACUCUUGAACUCCCAAAGCAGGGGUCCCAGGUUCGAUCCCUGGUCAGGGAA